rnacentral:rRNA from 1 species
GAUGAACGCUGGCGGCGUGCCUAAUACUUGCAAGUCGAGCGAACAGAUGAGAAGCUUGCUUCUCUGAUGUUAGCGGCGGACGGGUGAGUAACACGUGGGUAACCUACCUAUAAGACUGGGAUAACUACGGGAAACCGGGGCUAAUACCGGAUAAUAUUUUGAACCGCAUGGUUCAAUAGUGAAAGACGGUUUCGGCUGUCACUUAUAGAUGGACGCGCGCCGUAUUAGCUAGGUGGUCAGGUAACGGCUUACCAAGGCGACGAUACGUAGCCGACCUGAGAGGGUGAUCGGCCACACUGGAACUGAGGCACGGUCCAGACUCCUACGGGAGGCAGCAGUAGGGAAUCUUCCGCAAUGGGCGAAAGCCUGACGGAGCAACGCCGCGUGAGUGAUGAAGGUCUUCGGAUCGUAAAACUCUGUUGUUAGGGAAGAACAAAUUUGUUAGUAACUGAACAAGUCUUGACGGUACCUAACCAGAAAGCCACGGCUAACUACGUGCCAGCCGCCGCGGUAA